GUUUCACCAUGUUGGCCAGGCUGGUUUCGAACUCCUGACCUCAGGUGAUCUGCCCAUCUUGGCCUCCCAGGGUUCUAGGAUUACAGGCGUGAGCCACUGUGCUUGGCCACCUUUUUUGUUUUCCGUGUAAUCUUCAUAGUCAUCUUUCUUUUGUUGUUACUUUUAAUCCUCCUUGAAUUAGCGUUCAUGUACAACAUCCUCUUAGGAGCCACAUUUUAGUGCAUGGUGAUUAUCUUGCUUUUUCCGUUACAGCCUCUGAGUGUAUGAAAUAGGCAUCUCACCAGCCCUGAGGCUGUCAGAUCUGAGAGUUAGCUUUAAACAAGUCGCUAUUAAAACUGCUUUCUCUUGUAAACAUUUAAGAGACUGCUCUCCUUCACUGAGACUGUCUGAGUACUCUGUCUGUGUUUAUUGGCUCCAGCUGCUAUUUAUUGUCCUGUAGCGUAUCUCUUGAAGAGGCAAGGUAACAUAGUUGUUAGGAGUGUGGUUUUUACAUCUUUACUGCCUGGGAUCAAAUCCUAGCUCGGUUAUGUUUACUAGCAUUUUCCUCAUAGUAAAAGAAUAGUGUUUACUUUAUAUGAUCAUGGUUAAGAUUCACUAAAUUCAUACAUAUACUUGGAACCUUAGUAAGUAAUAAAUUUUGAAUUAAUCACAAAGAAGGCUAACUAAUAGAAUGAAAGGAACGUUUCAGGCAGAGACAUCUGUAAAGAUACAGAGGUUUGACAUUUCAUGGUGCAUUUUGUUAACUGGGCUUUCAGAGUGGCUCUUGCUCAGAAGAAGGUGAAGCUGUGUAGGGUGGGUUGAGUACCAUUAUUAGAGGUGUGGACUUUAAGCAGUUGGGAACAUUAAAAAAUAUUUUUUCACAGCAUACCAUUUCAUUCAUUUCUAUUUAUACGAAUUUGUCUUUAUCACCUCUUCCUGCCACAGAAACUGACAUAUACGGUGUUCUCAGUAAAUCUGUUUGAGUACAUGAGUAAUUGCUUUAGAAAAACCAAUCAUUCACACAGUGUUCUCCCGUUAGAUCCAGCUGGAGAAGAGCUACAGGAAAAAAAAGGCCUGCUCCAUGUACAUCAGUUUGGUCAGUUCUGUGUUGUCUAACUAGCAUUUUAUUGAUUGAAAACCUUCAUUAGCUGGUGCUUCCACAUUUUGAUAAGAACUGAUGUUCCUAAUGAUGAUCCUGGAGCACUGAAAGGUUCUGAUUUGUCUUCUGAAUCAUCAAAGCAAAAUUAUGUGGCAUUAUUUAACAGCUUGUAAAAUGAAUGUGGGAGUGUUGACUUGAGAUUGUGUAGAUUGAGUGGGGAGGAAGAUUAGGACAUUAAUCAAGGCACAUGGUAUUGGUUUGAAUGGAGGGGGA